CAUGACUCAUUUGCAAUUGUGUUUUUGAUUUCCUCCAUAUACUAAUGAAUGUUUUUUACCUUGAGUGAUAGAUGGGUGUUCUUCCCAAGUUUCCAGCUGGCGGUCUGAAUGAGAGAAGCUCAUUAACAUUACAAAAGGUGAGUGUUCACCCCAAUGAUCUUGUGGCUCAUCUGCCUGGGAGAAGCUCACGGGAACAUCUGGAGCUGACAAUGAUGGAACUGUACUCAUGUAGAGCCUGUUACCUUGACAGCUGGGGAAAGUCUCAAAACGGGCCUGCUCUGGCUUCUCCAUGGCCCUUUGGUGGUGAUUAACAAGUGCUGUUGAAAGAAUUGAGGUGCUGGAGGUUUUGGUGCAGGCGGGACUUUUGGUGCGGGCUGGAUUUUUGGUAAUUCUGGCCUGAUGCUUGGUCCAACCCUUAUCUGGCUGUGGUGCCUCCAUCAACCUGACGCUCUUUAGUAACCGGUCCAAGUCUUUGUAUGGAGGCCACCAUGAGUGGCCAUCUGAGUACCAGGACUUUGCUACAGGACCGGUACUCCCUUCUCCGACGAACUCCACUAUCAGGUGGCGAUGUACGCGCGCGAGUCGCCAAUGAGCCAAGGGAUGAAGAAGUCCUCAGGGCAAGAUGUGGUGGAGUUAUGGUUGAGAGUGCAAUCUAUUCUGCUUACCCGACUCAUGCAGACUUCUGUCCUGAUGUUUGGCUGUAGUCCUUCCAUCAUCCUUUUGCAACCGGUCUAUUUAUGGAGACCACCAUGAUCUAAUCUAUACAGAUCUAGUUGUCUCUUCUCCCACAAACUCCUCUUUCAGAUUUUGAGCGGAUCUCCUUCAUUCUGCAGCCAGCUCACCAGAACCUCUGGGUGCACCAGCUGUGGAUAUUACAGGCCAAACUUUGGUUUUCACAUUGUUUGGAGGACAAAAUCGGGAAGGAUGUAGGGGCACACAGUUUGGGCACACAUACACAGUUCAUCUUUGGACACCCUAGGACAACAUCCUUAGCACAGAUCCACCUAUAGCCCUCCAUCAUUCCCACAUCCAUCUUGCAACAGUUUCAUUAAGUGCAGUCCAUAACCAGUUCACAGUCUACACCUUGUCCAUUGCAAAUGUUAUGGAUUAUUCUAAUAGAGAUCUUUCUAUUAUUUUUUUUGAGACAGUUAUUAUGUACUCUGUUAUGUUGUGAAUAAAGUCAGCCCCCCCCCCCCCCACCACCUCGAUGCUUUCAGCAGUUAAUACAUUAAAGUGUGUCCUUAAUGUUUUAUUAUUUAAAGAUUGUUUUAAAGUUUAUUACAGGCUCAGUUUAUUUUUUUUCACUAGAAAAUAAAGUGGAGUAUUAACUGUCAUAAUCAAGUAUGAGACUUUUGUCAGUAUCAUUAAUUCUAUGAGGCAAUAUGAAUCAAAUUAACAUUUGUAUAGGGUUUUCAUCCGAAGGCUUCUUCCUUGUUCAGUUAAACAUCAAGGGUUUUCUAUGCCUUUGUCACCUUUUACUUUCUCAUUGGAAAUUAUGAGCAUCAUUAUUUGGAAGAAAAUAAGAAUAUGAAAAUGGCUUUGAUUUCAAUGUAUUGAAUGGAAUCAAAGAACCACACAAACCUUUGACCUUCACACAGACAUUGUAUAAAUUAAAGUGUUACUCAAAUUAUCAAGCUUGUAAUGUU